GUUAGUUGCAGUCUACCUCCACCAACAGGGUGGAAAACAAAGGUCGCCAUUCCGAUUAGCUGCUAUCUCCCAGUUCAAGCACUUUUGCUGUCUGGACACUGGUUCCUGUGGAUGGGCUGUUACAAGCUUCACUGUCUGAUAUAGAAGUGAUGAGCAUCCAUAAGGACACAUGGCAGAAAGGGAGUCUCUUUGAGAUGACAAACCCUCAUCACCUCAUGAGGAUACAAUGGUUGACGAAUGGUUCUCAAGUACAUCGAAACUUCAACAAAUAAUUCAUGAAAAAGCCAGUCAGUGCUAGCACCAGGAAUUGAACGUGGACCGUCCUGCUACCAGUCAGAGAUGUUACAUUUCAGGCGCUCAUUGACUUUUGGUGAAUUACUUGUUGACUUUGUCCCAAGGUGGAGCUCGCCACAGCUCAUUUGUCUAUCUGUUAAUGUUGUGGCGUGUGUUGCGUUUUUCUCUUUGUGUGUUCCAGACUCAGAACGGUUAAUUUGGAUCAGGUCAGGUACGUUUCAUUUAGACAUGGCAAACAUAAAGUGGUGUUUCUCAACACAACUUAGCAGUGGCCUUCAUGCAUUACUGCCACGACCAUUAAGCGUGAAUGGAAGGCUGCACAUUAUGCAUGAUGUAAAACCCCAAGACUAGGAACACGAAGGGACAAACACAAACACGUCCCUUUGUGUUCCCUAGUCUCGGGGUUUUACAUAUGCAUCAUCUUCACCAGCUCACUUGCUUCCUAGCCAUUUUUUCUGCACAUUAUGUUCACUCUACUUCUAUCGUGUGCUAUGUAAUCUUGUUCAAGUUCUGUCAAACGACGUGUAAUGCUAUAAAAAAAUUCAGUACACUGUUUAUGUGGGUUGAAUGGUAGCGCAUAAAUGCAGAAAGGGAACUGUCAUGUUAUGGAAAGUGUUUACGUAUUGUACAUUUAACUACUAAUUUUAUUGGUUAGCUUUCGCCGGCAUAUGAUGUCAAGCCAUGUUAUAUUAAUUUGGAACAUGUUCUUCUUAGUAGCCAGAGCAGCUGACACACAUUGAGAACAUAGGCCGUGUGUGUUUGUCUUUUCCACCGCAGCCCUUGGGUUUCCUCCCUGAUGGCUACACAUGUCAGGGAUAGGUUUCAGAACCGGUAGUUCCCGCCAAGUGUGAAUUACUUUUCAGGGGAU